GACGAACGCUGGCGGCGUGCCUUAUGAAUGCGAGUCGAGCGAGGCGCCACAUUGCAGCAUUUGUCAACCUGCCUUCGGGCAGAGCGACGGAAGCUGCGCCGUGGCACCUAGCGGCGAACGGGUGAGUAACACGUGGGUAACGUGCCCCGGAGUCUGGGAUAACCUCCAGAAAUGGUGGCUAAUACCGGAAUUAUGCCGAAAGGCAUCUUUCGUGUAUGAAAGGAUUUCGGUUCGCUCCGGGAUCGGCCCGCGGCCUAUUAGCUUGUUGGUAGGGUAACGGCCUACCAAGGCUGCGAUGGGUAGCCGGCCUGAGAGGGUGGUCGGCCACACUGGGACUGAGACAUGGUCCAGACUCCUACGGGAGUUAGCAUCAGGGAAUCUUGCGCAAUGGGCGAAAGCCUGACGCAGCGACGCCGCGUGGGUGAUGAAGGCCUUCGGGUCGUAAAGCCCUGUCAGGGGGGACGAAUGCCGGAUGCUUCGUGCAUCCGGAGCGACGGUACCCCCAAAGGAAGCCCCGGCUAACUACGUGCCAGCAGCCGCGGUAAGACGUAGGGGGCGAGCGUUGUCCGGAUUUAUUGGGCGUAAAGCGCGCGUAGGCGGCCAGGUAAGUCGUAGGUGAAAUCCCUGGGCUCAACCCAGGAACGGCUUACGAUACUGCUUGGCUAGAGUACGGGAGAGGAGAGCGGAAUUGCUGGUGUAGCGGUGAAAUGCGUAGAUAUCAGCAGGAACGCCCGUGGCGAAGGCUGCUCUCUGGAACGCUACUGACGCUAAGGCGCGAAAGCUAGGGGAGCAAACGGGAUUAGAUACCCCGGUAGUCCUAGCUGUAAACGAUGGGCACUAGGUGUUGGGGGCAUCGACCCUCCCAGUGCUGGUAUGCUAACGCGUUAAGUGCCCCGCCUGGGGAGACGGCCGCAAGGUU
rnacentral:rRNA from 1 species